rnacentral:rRNA from 1 species
UACGUAGGAUGCAGGCGUUGUCCGGAAUUAUUGGGCGUAAAGAGUGCGCAGGCGGUUUUACAAGUCAGAUGUGAAAUAUCCGGGCUUAACCCGGAGGGGUCAUUUGAAACUGUAAGACUAGAGUACAGCAGAGGAUAGCGGAAUUCCCGGUGUAGUGGUGAAAUGCGUAGAUAUCGGGAGGAACACCAGUGGCGAAGGCGGCUAUCUGGGCUGAAACUGACGCUGAGGCGCGAAGGCUAGGGGAGCAAACAGG